rnacentral:lncRNA from 1 species
CGCGCGGCCGAGCCCGCCGCCCGCCGCUGCCGCCGCCGCUGCCGCCGCCGCCGCCAGAUGAGGUCUCAGUUUGUAGUGCAGGCUGACCUUGAACUCGCGGUGAUCCUCCUGCCUCGGCCUCCCAAGUGAUGGAAUUAUAGGUGGUGUUUGGACACUAGACCAUGUGCCUAGGUAGUUUUCCUUUCUCUGCAGCUCUACUCUCCCAGCAACGCUCACCACACCCUUGUUUUGAGAACCUCACUAAGCCAGCCCGGAAGCUGUCUCUGUGAGGAGAAUGCUGUUUUCUUCUAAUGGGGUAAUCUCUCUCCAUGCCGGGCUCCCAGCCCAUCUGUCACAACCUGUCCCUCCUGCUUUUCCUGCUCCUUAAAAGGACCAAGCUAUUCUACACUUCUUCAGUGUUUUUCCCUCCUAGGCAUUUGGAAGAAAGGAAAGAGGAGGAGGAAAGGAAAAGCAGGAAGAGAGGACAGGGGAUAAGUUCAUAAAGUGAAUGUCUCGUGGCAUGUCCUUGUGGUCAUGAUCGCCUGUGUGCUGGUUCACUUGGCAGUGGGCUGCCCUGCUGUCACUGGUAUCUGUGUGUUCCGUUUUCAUGGCUCUCACACUUCUAGUCCAGGAGACAAUUAUUUGUUCUGUUCAGAAUCUCAUCUCCAUGAGAUAUUCUGCCAGUCUGUUUGGGUAAUGAGGACCCUCCUGGGGGAGGGGCAUGUUUUCCUUUUCUGUGAGACCUCCUAAACCAGCACAUGUGUUUUGUUGAGGGCUUAGGAGGGCCAGGAAACCAGACCUGCAGACCCACUGAUCCCACAGGAUGUAAGAAUAUACCUCUGCCAUGCCACCUGCUCUCGUGGUUCUGAGUGAUUUUCUAUUUUCCCUUAUAAAAACUAUAAAAGCAAUCUCUUAGCUUUCCCCCAAAAAGUUUUGAAAAAUAAUCUAGCAGUAAAAGUUUUUUCUUUUAAUUGUAGAUCAAAUGAAUACUUAGUUUUGCAUUAUCAGAC